CACAGAAAAAAAUAAUAUUGUGCAUCAGAAAAUAUCGUACUUUGUAUCUUAAAGUUGCCUAAUUUACGUUAAAAUAAAAGUUAAAUUGUUUUCAGUGAAAGUUAAAUUUCUAGGUUAAAAGUUUUAUUCGUUUUCUUUGAGUGUAGAUUUAAAAGUACAACUUUUUGAUUAGAAAACUGUUGAAUUGUCAAUGCGCCCAGUAUCGUUUGAAGUCGAUGACAAACAACAACAAUAUAAGUUGUCAACUCAUUUUUAUUUUUGUCUUAUUCACGCACGAGUUUGAAGAAAAUUUGAUUUAUCUGCGAAGUGCUUGCAGUAAGAAUCCUGACUGCAAGAUAUUCGGCUCCUGAAUCCCGUUGGCUGUUGAUACAUAAUUCUGUGCGACGUUGCGAUAAGGAAAAGCAACGCCCGCUCUACGGCCAUGACGGAAACAACCAAAAAAACACCAAGGAGAGAUCAGGAAAAAGAUAAUCCAAAUAAGCCGAACUCGAUUUACGCUAUUGACACGGAUUUGAUCGCUAUGUAAACACUAUGAUAAACACGACAUUUUGAGGACAUCCACAUUUUGAAAUCUAGCUUUUGAUUCAACACAAAUCAAA